CGGGAGUAUUUAAGGGCUGAAUUAUCUCAUCCAGUUUGGCAUGUCUAAUGGUCCGACAAUCUCGAGAUCAUGCAAUUUCACAGCUAAUAACCCAGCUAUUCAACAUUCUUCUAUAUAAAUAACCAGAGCUCCGAAGACCAAGAUAAGUUCAAUCGAACCUUUCUCAGAGAACUCGUUGCUGCUUUUUUAUUAUCUAUUUUUUUAACUUGAGCAUCGGAAAGUCUUCACCGGAGCCACAACCUUCGAUUUGGAG
rnacentral:lncRNA from 1 species